CGUAGAUGGCGUGGGCUGUGUCCGUUACGGCAGUGUGCUGAGCCUAGGAACAGAACGUCGUCUUGAGAGCUGAGCCGUUCGUUCGUUAGUACGGGAAGUGGAUGAGAAACCAAGCCGUGUAGUUACUCAUAUCUCGCCGGGAGUUUGAUUUGAAACGGCGCGGCUGAUUCUACCGGCGACGAGCCCAUGGAGGCCAACGGAUUGGAGUUCCUGCUAGAUUUGAUCAACUUGUGCGUUCCAGGUUCUCCCUUCAUGAGGAGUUUACCGAUAACCUGGAGCAUCCAGAUCCGGUGCCCCCUCCUGUGCUGCCGCGAUUUCGGAGAGAAUCAGGUCGUAGUGGAGGAAUGCAACUGUGCGUGAGGCUGCGCCCAAGUGGUCGGCAGCCUAGCCUGCAGAGAAGUGGAACACUUCGCCUGUGCAGUCAGAGCAGUCCCCCGGGAAGGUGAAUCCGGCCCGAGCACCAGGAUAGAAGAGGAGAUGAACUGUUGAUAAUUUUCACUACUGAUUUGCAUUAGUAGUUGAGAAAAAUUUGCUGGGGCUACGUGCGUAUAAAUUUAAUUGUUUAGAUGUUUCAAUUACAACAUCUGUCGCUCAUCUAUGGUUGUGAAAUUUUGCUUUUGGUUUUUCA